rnacentral:rRNA from 1 species
UGGGGAAUUUUGCACAAUGGGCGCAAGCCUGAUCCAGCCAUGCCGCGUGCAGGAUGAAGGCCUUCGGGUUGUAAACUGCUGUUGUACGGAACGAAAAGACUCCUUCUAAUAAAGGGGAUCCAUGACGGUACCUUAACAAUAAGCACCGGCUAACUACGUGCCAGCAGCCGCGGUAAUACGUGGGGUGCGAGCGUUAAUCGGAAUUACUGGGCGUAAAGCGUGCGCAGGCGGUUACAUAAGACAUAUGUUAAAUCCCCGGGCUCAACCUGGGACCUGCAUUUGUGACUGUAUGGCUAGAGUACGGUAGAGGGGGAUGGAAUUCCGCGUGUAGCAGUGAAAUGCGUAGAUAUGCGGAAGAACACCGAUGGCGAAGGCAAUCCUCUGGACCUGUACUGACGCUCAUGCACGAAAGCGUGGGGAGCAAACA